rnacentral:rRNA from 1 species
CAGUAGCCGCGGUAAUACAGAGGGUGCAAGCGUUAAUCGGAAUUACUGGGCGUAAAGCGCGCGUAGGUGGUUUGUUAAGUUGGAUGUGAAAUCCCCGGGCUCAACCUGGGAACUGCAUCCAAAACUGGCAAGCUAGAGUAUGGUAGAGGGUGGUGGAAUUUCCUGUGUAGCGGUGAAAUGCGUAGAUAUAGGAAGGAACACCAGUGGCGAAGGCGACCACCUGGACUGAUACUGACACUGAGGUGCGAAAGCGUGGGGAGCAAACAGGAUUAGAGACCCCUGUAGUCCCUGUCUCUUAUAA